CCUCGACGAUCUGAUUCGGUAAGCGGGGUAAUCUGUCUCCUACAGUCACUAUCUAGGGAUCUGCCUCUGUUCUGGGUGUGCAUGCCCGCUCCGUCCGGGAAGCCCAAAGGAAUAUUGUGGAGCCCACCUACGUGCCAAACGUAGGGGAUAGAACAACCCUUCGGUCAGAUGGUCAGGCC
rnacentral:other from 1 species